rnacentral:lncRNA from 1 species
UACAAUGAAAACAACGAGGCUACUAAGGAAGGGAGCCAAGAAAUUACUGGUGGUUGAGGGACACGCUGAAGAGGAAUUGUGCCAGGAAUCCCUGGCUAAAGAAAAGUAAUAAUGAUGACAGUUACCAUUUAUUGAAAGCUUACUAUGUGCAAGGUGCCGUCGUAAGUGCUUUUCAUGUACUAUCUCAUUUUAUUCUCACAAAUCUCUAGAAGUAAAUAACACUAUGUUUGCAGAGAAAGGACCCAGGAGACCCAAGUGGAUUAACAAGAAUUAGGGGGGUAAGAGUGUGAGACCAUAUGAGUGAGGGGUAACACAGCAUGGUGGGGAUGUAUUUAAGAAAGACCACAAUGAGUGUAUGUGUCCAGAAUGGAAGAUUGUGUAAGAACACGAGGGAAAGGGUGGAGGGAAGGGAAGGGUUACAGAUGCUGAGAGGGAACCGAAGGCGUUGGGGAGGAGGGGAGGAGUUAGUUGAGGCAGGAGAGAAGCCAAAAGGGAGGUGGAGGAGCAGCCAAUAGGGAGGGAAGUGGGAAGGACUUAGAGGAAGGAGGAGGAGCAGUAAAAAGGAAAACAGAAGAGCAGAGGGGAAGAGACUAGAAAAAGCAGCAGUGAGGAGGAAGGUAAAGGAGAAGAGAGGGAGGGGUAGGGAGAGGAGCCGAGAGGGAGGGGAAAGAGAAGGAGAUGGGAGAGGGCGUAGCAUCCAGGAGAAAGGAGGAGGGGGAGGAGCCGAGAGAGCACUGGCAGAACAAAAAGAGACUGGGCUCCCUGCAGGGACGGCGUAUGCCUAUGUCAACCUCAAGAAGUGAAGCAUCACCAAAGUCUACAAGACGCAGCUCUCCUGAUGCCACCAGUGUGUUGUUGUCGCCAGCUCCAGCCACCUGCUGGGCACCAAGCCAGUCCUGGAGAUAAGCUGAGACUGUGCACCAUCCACGUAAACAGCACACCCACCACGGGCUACUCAGCUGAUGUGGGCAACACGACUACCUUCCAGAAGCCUAUUAACCCAUUCCAGCAUAU